GAUGAACGCUGGCGGCGUGCCUAAUACAUGCAAGUCGAGCGAACAGACGAGGAGCUUGCUCCUUCGACGUUAGCGGCGGACGGGUGAGUAACACGUAGGUAACCUACCUAUAAGACUGGGAUAACUUCGGGAAACCGGAGCUAAUACCGGAUAAUAUUUCGAACCGCAUGGUUCGAUAGUGAAAGAUGGCUUUGCUAUCACUUAUAGAUGGACCUGCGCCGUAUUAGCUAGUUGGUAAGGUAACGGCUUACCAAGGCAACGAUACGUAGCCGACCUGAGAGGGUGAUCGGCCACACUGGAACUGAGACACUGUCCAGACUCCUACGGGAGGCAGCAGUAGGGAAUCUUCCGCAAUGGGCGAAAGCCUGACGGAGCAACGCCGCGUGAGUGAUGAAGGUCUUCGGAUCGUAAAACUCUGUUAUUAGGGAAGAACAAACGUGUAAGUAACUGUGCACGUCUUGACGGUACCUAAUCAGAAAGCCACGGCUAACUACGUG
rnacentral:rRNA from 1 species